rnacentral:rRNA from 1 species
CCCUUAGAUGUCCGGGGCCGCACGCGCGCUACACUGAAGGAAUCAGCGUGGCUUUCUCCCUGACCCGAAAGGGUUGGGAAACCCGUUGAAUCUCCUUCGUGAUAGGGAUUGGGGCUUGAAAUUGUUCCCCAUGAACGAGGAAUUCCCAGUAAGCGCGAGUCAUAAGCUCGCGUUGAUUACGUCCCUGCCCUUUGUACACACCGCCCGUCGCUACUACCGAGUGAACGGUUUAGUGAGGGCCUCGGAUUGGUCUCGGCCCGCUCUUUACCGGGCGGCGCCGUUGGUCGAGAAGACGCUCGAACUUGAUCGUUUAGAGGAAGUAAAAGUCGUAACA